GGAACGAUACAGAGAAGAUUAGCAUGGC
rnacentral:piRNA from 5 species